rnacentral:rRNA from 1 species
AGCGAACGCUGGCGGCAGGCCUAACACAUGCAAGUCGAACGAACUCUUCGGAGUUAGUGGCGGACGGGUGAGUAACACGUGGGAACGUGCCUUUUGGUUCGGAAUAACUCAGGGAAACUUGUGCUAAUACCGAAUGUGCCCUUCGGGGGAAAGAUUUAUCGCCAUUAGAGCGGCCCGCGUCGGAUGAGCUAGUGUGUGAGGUAACGGCUCACCAAGGCGACGAUCCGUAGCUGGUCGGAGAGGGGGACAAGCAACCGUGGGACGGGGACCCGGCCCAGACGCCUAGGGGAGGCAGCAGGAGGGAAGCCUCGGCAAGAGACGAAAGGCUGACCGAGAAACGCCGAGGGAGGGAAGAAGGGUGUCGGAUCGUAAAAAUCGGUUGGUAGAGAAGAACGUUGGUGCGAGUGGAAAGCUCAUCAAGUGACGGUAACUACACAGAAAGGGACGGCUAACUACGUG